CUUUUUGCCAUUUCUUGGGCCACUCCUGCGGCAUAUGGAGGUUCCCAGGCUAGGGGUCGAAUCGGAGCUGUACCCCACAGCCACAGCAACAUGGGAUCCGAGCCGAGUCUGUGACCACACCACAGCUCACAGCAACACUGGAUCGUUAACCCACUGAGCAAGGCCAGGGAUCGAACCUGCAACCUCAUGGUUCCUAGUUGGAUUCAUUAACCACUAUACUGUGUUUUUACAAAUUGAAGUUGGUGGCGACCCUGCGUCCAGCAAGUCUGUUGGUGCCAUUCUUUCCAACAGCCUCUGCUCCCUUUGAGUCUGUCGGUCACAUUUUGGUACUUUUCACCCCACUUAAAACUUUUUCGUGAUUAUUCUAUCUGUUCUGGGGAUCCGUGAUCCAUGGUCUUUGAUGUUACUGUGCUGACUCCCUGAAGGCUUGGAUGGUGGCCAGCAGGUUUUAGCGACAUUUCCUGAAGGUAUGUACAUUGACUUUUUCGACAGAUUGCUUUUGCCCACUUAUAGACGAUGGUAUGCUGUAAAUAUACCUUUUACAUGCACUGGGCAACCAAAAAAUGUGUGCAACUUGCUUUGUUGAGAUAUUUGCUUUCUGCGGUGGUCUAGACUGGAACCCAGAGUAUCUCCAGGGUAUGCCUCUGUUCAUUAGAAAGUCUCUGUCUGAUACUAAGUAACUGAUAUUAAUCAACAAAGUUCUGAUUAAUAGGUGACUACACUGCAGGCAGUGUAUCUCGUUACGGACACUUUCCUUUGGUUAACAUUUCACAGGUACUUAGAAAACACACUUACAGUUACCAGAGAGGAGAACAGGGGCAGGAAGGGGAAUAAAUUAGGAGCUGGGGAUGAACAGAGAUACACUGUACUGUAUAUGAAAGAGAUAACCAGCCAGGACCUAUUGUAUCGUACAGGGAACGGUAUUCAAUGUCUUGUCAUAACCUCUCAUGGAAAAGAAUCUGAAACAGUGUGUAUACAUGCACGUAAUUAACAUGUACGUAUGACAUAUAUGCAUGUAUAUCUGUAUAUGAAACUGGAUCACUUUGCUGUACACCUGAAGCCAACACAACACUGUAAAGUAACCAUACUUCAACUUGAAAGAUUAAAAAAUAUUUCAAUUGGACUCCAACAGUAGGAGGACUCUAUCCGAAAAUGCGAUUCUACAUAAGGCUGUUAAGCACCCCCUUGAAAAGCACCUGGAUGCUUCACUGCAAACAACUCCUGCACGUAAAAUAUAAAAAUCCUCUGUGUUGCAUUUGAAAUCGGAUAAAUAUUUAUUAUCAAUGCUGUUUGCUUUUAAUCUGUUCAGGAUAUCGUUUCUCCAGCUUCUUAGUAGUUAAACAAAAAUGGCAUUUACAUUACAAUAUUGCUUUGCCAACAAUCUCAUUUUCUGGUUUAGUCAGCAGCCCUUCCUGCUUGAUUAGUCUUUAAUUAUACAAAUACCUACAUAUUAAAAAAAGUUUUCUUUUUUCCAUACUUUGAGCAUGUAAUUAUUUUCUCUUGCAUGCAAUAACCUUUAAUUUUAGGAUUAAGCAACUGAUUCUUUUUAGUAUGGAUGGGCCUUUUCAAGUGGUAAAGCAAAUUUGGUUAUUGUAUUAUGUGAAAAAUUAACUUCGGGAAACCUCUCAUCAGUGCAUUUGCCAGCACUCUGAUCAGCUGUUACAGAAAGUCCUGGAUAUAUUACUGAAAGAUAAAACAGGACUUCGUUUCUGUAGUUUUUUUUUUCUUCCUAUUUCUCUCUAUGUCUUUGGUCUAGGAAUGUGAUUGUUUAAGCAACUAAAACGCCUGCAAUAUACCUAAUUUUUCUAUUUCCAUAAAUUAGGGCUGCGAGCAGAUGCUUCAGAGAAAAAUAUUUUGAUACAAAAGCUUUUUUUAGUUCUGGUAGGGAAAACCACAAACUUCAAACUUUUAUUUUUUUUCCCCCUCUUUUUAGGGCUGCACCUGUGGCAUAUGGAUGUUCCCAGGUUAGGGGUCAAAUUGGAGUUACCUCUGAGGCCUACGCCGCAGCCACAGCAAUACCAGAUCUGAGCUGCAUCUGUGACCUAUGCCGCUGCUUGUGGCAACACCAGAUCCUUAACCCACUGAGCAAGGCCAGGGAUCGAACUCGCAUCCUCAUGGAUACUAGUCGGGUUCUCCACCACAACAGGAACUUUCCUAAACUUUAAUUGUCAAAGAGUUUUCUAUAACUAACCCACAAAAAGAAUGUUUAAAAAUACAGGCGCAUCUUAAUGGGUUAGACGGUGUUUCUCUCUAUACUCCAUGCUAAUACUUGGGGCCAAUGAGAAAGCCAAACAGCGAUGAGGCUGAGAAGUGGUACCUCCCUUUCUAAAACCAAAGAGUAUCCUCAGGAAAAACCCCCUCUAUAUCGCCUGACUUAUCGCCAGAUGCUCACUUCGUAUCAGGUUCCUUUCCUCUCCUCUCACAUUAAGCUCAUUUCCUCGCGGGAGUCAUCUCAGAGAGCAAACCCAUCUGAGGACCUCACAGCGCUCAAUUAGCCGCAUUCAAAGUUCUCGGUUCCGUAUUAAGCGUGAUGGAUACAGAGGCAAAUGAGAUGCAUCAGUUCGAGUCUAAGACAAGCAGACUCCAGCCUGUGCUUACAGUGCUGCCAAGCUUUCUUUUUCAUGAUUUUUCCCAUUGCAGUUGAUUUAACUUUUUUUAAAAUUUUAUGAUUUUUCCCAUUAGCGCUGAUUCAUGAAGCUACUUUAACUUUCCUCUGUCAUCUCCAG
rnacentral:lncRNA from 1 species